GGGGAUUUAGCUCAGCGGUAGAGUGCUUGCCUAGCAAGCACAAGGCCCUGGGUUCGGUUCCCAGCUCCG
rnacentral:tRNA from 1 species